AAAUUCAUUUAUUCAUAUUCAUAUAUCAUUUAUAUUCAUUUAUUCAUAAUAAUGAAUAAAUGAAUAUAAUAAUUCAAAUGAAGUUUGUGUCUGAUUUAUUAGAUAUGAGUCACAAUACAAAAUGCAGUCACAGUGAAAAAUUUUUAAAAAUGCUGAUUUAGCCCAUAAAGUUCCUUAUAUGGAAAAGGGGUCAUCCGAUUCAGGCGGGACUUAAACCAAUUCAACUAAUGCAAUCAAUAUUGGAUCUCGCAUUUCAAUUGAGCAAAAGAAAAUCCAGACUUAAGGUCUUAUUAUUUCUGGAAAUUGUAUGCAUGGGAUCCAGCCUCCCAACAAUUAAAGUUUAAAGUAAUUGCUGAAAUGCUAGUUUCUGAUUACCAGAAGACUAGAUCUUAUACAUAAACAAAUGGCAGCAAAACAACGAAAUGCACGAAUGGCAGCAAAACAAAAUUUUGGCUAUAACUAAAUCUGUGAGUGAAGUGAAAUGGUCUUUACUUAAUGAACUGAUAACGACCUCUUCGAAAACUAUGUAUGAAUGAGUACUAGGGAUUGUCUUUUUCCCGGAUUUUUGGUAAUCCUGGGAUUCCGGAAUAAAAAAUGUUCUCUUCCCGGAAUCCUGGGAUUUCCCAAGACUUUUGUAAAUGGAAUUAAAAUUGAAUAUUUCAAAGCAUUUUAUAUAUAUAUAUCACUCGUUUUAAUUUGUGAUUCGAACUCGUUUCAAUUUGUGAUAUAUAUAUUAUAAAUUGAAACGAGUUAAAAACUUUUCAGAAAAUUAAUAUUUUCUUUUUAAACCAUGACAGACUAUUGAGUAUUGAGUAGUGACUACAUUGUUUAAAAAAUGUAUUUAACUUUAGUUUAUUUUGAGACUGAUUUGGCAGUUGACAUGUAAUAUGAGUGUAAGAAUCACAGGCAAUUGAUACUUUAUUACUGAGUCUAGUUCUAAGUUUGGUUAUAAAUAAUACUCCCUCAGCCGAAAAGGACUUUUCAGUUUCUACAGUUGUUGCAUUUGAGAAUGUCCAUUAAUUUUAUUACAUUUGUUGUUUUUUUUUACCAGUUGCCACCAAGAUUUCGAACUUUUUGGAUAUAUUCAUUGCAAGUGAUUGACCUUCAGCUUCAUUCUGAGGGUUUUUUAAAAAUAUAUUCAGUUUGUUUUUUGAUUUGACGCGUCAAUUUCUCACAGUCUGCUCACUUUGCUGUAUUUCGGUCUCACAAGGGGUGCUUCCGAACCGUGUAGGGGCGAAAAUGAACCAAACUUUGUGGAUGAAG
rnacentral:lncRNA from 1 species